rnacentral:rRNA from 1 species
GUGCCAGCAGCCGCGGUAAUACGUAGGGUGCGAGCGUUAAUCGGAAUUACUGGGCGUAAAGCGUGCGUAGGCGGUUUUUCAAGCUUGAUGUGAAAGCCCCGGGCUUAACCUGGGAAUGGCAUUGAGGACUGAGAGGCUAGAGUGCGGCAGAGGGAGGUGGAAUUCCACGUGUAGCAGUGAAAUGCGUAGAGAUGUGGAGGAACACCGAUGGCGAAGGCAGCCUCCUGGGCCGACACUGACGCUGAGGGCACGAAAGCGUGGGGAGCAAACAGGAUUAGAUACCCCGGUAGUCC